GAUGAACGCUGGCGGCGUGCCUAAUACAUGCAAGUCGAGCGAACAGACGAGGAUCUUGCUCCUCUGGCGUUAGCGGCGGACGGGUGAGUAACACGUGGAUAACCUACCUAUAAGACUGGGAUAACUUCGGGAAACCGGAGCUAAUACCGGAUAAUAUAUUGAACCGCAUGGUUCAAUAGUGAAAGACGGUUUUGCUGUCACUUAUAGAUGGAUCCGCGCCGCAUUAGCUAGUUGGUAAGGUAACGGCUUACCAAGGCAACGAUGCGUAGCCGACCUGAGAGGGGGAUCGGCCACACUGGAACUGAGACACGGUCCAGACGACUACGGGAGGGAGCAGUAGGGAAUCUUCCGCAAAGGGCGAAAGCCUGACGGAGCAACGCCGCGUGAGUGAUGAAGGUCUUCGGAUCGUAAAACUCUGUUAUGAGGGAAGAACAAAUGUGUAAGUAACUAUGCACGUCUUGACGGUACCUAAUCAGAAAGCCACGGCUAACUACGUG
rnacentral:rRNA from 1 species